AUCCCCUGGAUGAAUAAAGGCCUAUAGCUGAUAUGGGUAUCGCUCAGUCUUCUGUGAUUCAUUUUAUAUGCGUUUGUCCAUUUGCGGCUGCAGCCAUAUGGCUCGGCUCUUAAUUGAGUCAAUUCGCACAAAUUGACGGGGAUUUUUUGAAAUAAUUCUUCAAAAUGAUAGACUCAGUAUAAAAGGCAAAGUAUAACAUAUUAAAGACAUCAGUUGAUUUUAGAAUCUCGUUGCUGAAAUUAAAUUUUCAUUAAGUUUAUUAAAAUGGCCGAUAAAGAAGUAAAGAAACCCAAUAACGAACCCAUGAGGUCGGUAGAAGUUCGUGGCGAACAUCAUGGUCGUCAUGGAGCAAGUGCUAGUGUAACCUACACCCAUCCUGUUGGUAAAAAUGUUGAUGUUUAUGCUCAAGUCAACAGACAAUUUAAAUAUAACGAUACCAGUGGACAUGUUGGUAUAGGAUAUAAAUUUUGAAAAUUAUAAAUUUUUCAAAAACCUUUUGCACAA